rnacentral:rRNA from 1 species
CCGGCGCACGGUGAGUAACACGUAUGCAAUCCACCUGUAACAGGGGGAGUAACCCGGAGAAAUCCGGACUAAUACCCCAUAAUAUGGGCGCUCCGCAUGGAGAGUUCAUUAAAGAGAGCAAUUUUGGUUACAGACGAGCAUGCGCUCCAUUAGCCAGUUGGCGGGGUAACGGCCCACCAAGGCGACGAUGGAUAGGGGUUCUGAGAGGAAGGUCCCCCACAUUGGAACUGAGACACGGUCCAA